rnacentral:ncRNA from 1 species
GGUUUGGUCCUGACCUUAAAAUCAAUUUUUACCCAACUUACACAUGCAAGUCUCCGCGCACCAGUGAAAACGCCCUUUCCCCCAUUUCGGAACAAGGAGCCAGCAUCAGGCUUAACCCCGCCAAAAACGCCUAGCUUCGCCACACCCACAAGGGUCUUCAGCAGUGAUUAACAUUGAAUAAUAACGUCAGUUAGAUUCAGUCAGGGUAUCCAGAGCCGGCCAAUCUAGUGCCAGCCGCCGCGGCUACACUAGAGACUCAAAUUGACCACUCAACGGCGUAAAGCGUGACUAAAUUUCUACCAACCCCUAGAAUGAAACCUAAAUUAAGUAGUAAUAAGCUUGUUUUAAGGAACCCCAGUUGAACGAAAGUUAUUCUAGACCCAUUUGACUCACGACAGCUGGGAAACAAACCGGGAUUAGAUACCCCGCUAUGCCCAGCCGUAAACUAAUUUACAACCCAACCGCCAGAGAACUACGAGCUUAGCUUAAAACUCAAAGGACUUGACGGUCCCCCACAUCCCCCUAGAGGAGCCUGUCCUAUCAUCGAUGACCCCCGCUAAACCUCACCCCUCUUAGCUUUUCAGCCUGUAUACUUCCGUCGCAAGCCCACCGCGUGAGUGAAACUCAGUCGGCCCAACUACUAAUUCAGCACAAACGUCAGGUCAAGGUGCAGCAUAUAGAGGGGGAAGAGAUGGGCUACAUUCUCUAACAUAGAGUACACAGAGAACUAGUAUGAAACCUAGUUACAAAGGUGGAUUUAGUAGUAAAGUAGGAAUAGAGCGCCUCCUUUAACCCGGCACUGGGGUGCGUACAUACCGCCCGUCACCCUCCUCGAAGCCACUAACAAGUACUUAACACUCCACAGCUGUAAGAAGAGGCAAGUCGUAACAUGGUAAGUAUACCGGAAGGUGUGCUUGGAUA